rnacentral:rRNA from 1 species
AUGUCCUACGGGGCGCAGCAGUGGGGAAUAUUGCACAAUGGGGGAAACCCUGAUGCAGCGACGCCGCGUGAGUGAAGAAGUAUUUCGGUAUGUAAAGCUCUAUCAGCAGGGAAGAAGAAAGACGGUACCUGACUAAGAAGCCCCGGCUAACUCCGUGCCAGCAGCCGCGGUAAUACGGAGGAUGCGAGCGUUAUCCGGAUUUAUUGGGUUUAAAGGGUGCGCAGGCGGCGAGUUAAGUCAGCGGUAAAAUUUCGGGGCUCAACCCCGACGAGCCGUUGAAACUGGCUUGCUAGAGUGGGCGAGAA